rnacentral:rRNA from 1 species
GACGAACGCUGGCGGCGUGCUUAACACGUGCAAGUCGAACGGAAAGGCCCUGCUUUUGUGGGGUGCUCGAGUGGCGAACGGGUGAGUAACACGUGAGUAACCUGCCCUUGACUUUGGGAUAACUUCAGGAAACUGGGGCUAAUACCGGAUAGGAGCUCCUGCUGCAUGGUGGGGGUUGGAAAGUUUCGGCGGUUGGGGAUGGACUCGCGGCUUAUCAGCUUGUUGGUGGGGUAGUGGCUUACCAAGGCUUUGACGGGUAGCCGGCCUGAGAGGGUGACCGGCCACAUUGGGACUGAGAUACGGCCAAGACUCCAACGGGGGGCAGAAGGGGGGAAUAUUGCACAAUGGGCGGAAGCCGGAUGCAGCAACGCCGCGUGCGGGAUGACGGCCUUCGGGUUGUAAACCGCUUUCGCCUGUGACGAAGCGUGAGGGACGGUAAUGGGUAAAGAAGCACCGGCUAACUACGUG